CCCUCUACCUCCGUCUAUCAUGUGCUUGGGAUAUGAUCACACUGUGCUCAGAGUGGCUGCAGCAUGCAUCAAAUGCAGGUUAUUCCACAAAGUGCACGCGGUGUCCACCCCCCCCCCACCCCCACACCCUAUCUGUCUUUUUAUUAUUAUUAUUCUUUUUUUUAUUAUUUUGAACGGGAUAUUUGAGGGGAUAGUGUUUGACGACGAGACAACGCGGACCGCUCACUUCAUUUGACUCACCUUUGUAGGAAUGAUGAAGAACUGGAGCUACGCAGGACAGCAUAUGGUAGGAAGAUAUCGACAUGACGUUUGGGAUUUUCUUUUCACCGGACCUGUCUGAGGUAUGAUGACGACCUCCCGGAGGUUGACCCGGAAACAAUCGCUGCAAUGACGCCAGUCUUCAGGCUGACACGUCAAGGAUAUUCAGCAGAUUGCAAAGGUGUGUCCCUCCUGCUCAACCACUAAAAGAGAAGAAGUUAUCUGUGCUUUUGCUAUCAUUGUCAGCGUGAUGACAGGAAUUGCAAAACAUAUCGUGAGACUGAGCUAAUGAGAAUCGAUGUAUUUCUGUUUAUAUGUUCAUUAAGUAAUUAAGUGAAACUGACUGUUUGUCUUUUGACGGCUAAAUAAAACCCCU